UCCUUUCUGUGGCUUUGUAUGUGUCUGU
rnacentral:piRNA from 1 species